rnacentral:rRNA from 1 species
GAUGAACGCUGGCGGCGUGCCUAAUACAUGCAAGUCGAGCGAACGGACGAGAAGCUUGCUUCUCUGAUGUUAGCGGCGGACGGGUGAGUAACACGUGGAUAACCUACCUAUAAGACUGGGAUAACUUCGGGAAACCGGAGCUAAUACCGGAUAAUAUUUUGAACCGCAUGGUUCAAAAGUGAAAGACGGUCCUGCUGUCACUUAUAGAUGGAUCCGCGCUGCAUUAGCUAGUUGGUAAGGUAACGGCUUACCAAGGCAACGAUGCAUAGCCGACCUGAGAGGGUGAUCGGCCACACGGGAACUGAGACACGGUCCAGACUCCUACGGGAGGCAGCAGUAGGGAAUCUUCCGCAAUGGGCGAAAGCCUGACGGAGCAACGCCGCGUGAGUGAUGAAGGUCUUCGGAUCGUAAAACUCUGUUAUUAGGGAAGAACAUAUGUGUAAGUAACUGUGCACAUCUUGACGGUACCUAAUCAGAAAGCCACGGCUAACUACGUG